rnacentral:tRNA from 1 species
GCUGGUGUAGCUCAGCUGGAAGAGCAGGGAUUUUGUAAGUCUCAGGUCGGGGGUUCGAAUCCGUCCACCAGCUCCA